rnacentral:lncRNA from 1 species
GGGGAAGGUAGCUCACUUUUUAAACUCCCUGGCAGUGAACACGUAGAGCCAGCAAGUGGACAGCAAUGCUGGCAGACAUUUAUCUCUGCACAGCACUUUGAAGGGCUGCGUGGAGGCUACUGCUGUGACCCAGCACUGGAAAGUGGGAUAGCCAGACUCAUUCCACUGUUGGCCUGCAAUUUCUAUUUUAAUUAUUUUCUUGGCAUGUUUAAAGUAGUUUUGUCUCACCAAUUCUCCCACUGCAAUCUGACCAUGUCAAUGGAAAAUGUGACUCUAUAAGCAGAAGGAACAAGUAAAGUCUGGCAAGAAAGAAAAAAUAAAAUAGUGAAAUGAAUUGCAAUAGAUCACCUUCAGUCCAGCUCUUCAUGGGUCAGAGUACUCAUGUACAUAAGGUUCCUACAUAAAUGUAUGUAAGGUAUGUAAGAUCAGACUGUCAGACUGGUCUUUGGGAGAUAAAUUGUGCCACUUCUUACCUGUGAAAAAUGCUGUUUUUAUUUGCCUUUUUCUGAUAACUUAGUGGGUUUACAAUAUAUUGGGGUGAUGCUCUCUUUAUUUACCAUGUUUAAUUUUGCCCUUUACCCUC